CCACAGAGGAAGCAGCAGAUCGGUCUACUCGCCCCUCUUACUCAAUCCUCUACUCGAACCCUUUACUCCAUCAUUGGCGACCAACUCUACAAGACUUGUUGAUCUAUCAAAGCGUCUUUGGAUCCUCCUCAUUCCCCACUCAACCAGACAUCUGAGCAUACGGAUAGGAGAGGAAGAAGCAUCCACUCGACCAAUUGAUCA
rnacentral:sRNA from 1 species